UUGAGCUGGAUCGGUUGUUGGUAUUGUUGGAUCUGACCCUGAUUUUGGUUUCUACCCUGCAAGGUCUAGUAUUUUCCCUGCUGACCUGUUUCCCGCAUUGUUACGAUCAUUACCAUACUGAUUGGAUCCUUGAGACGAAGAAUGACUAGAAGAUUGGAAUACGGUUUCCAUCUCUGUUCCUUUUCUUGCUAUCAUCAGAGUUUCCCAAGAAUUCUUUCCUCUCCAUCUCUACUUUCUUUGUAGCAUCUACAGCUUCCGCAACAUUAGCAAACCUGGAAUCAAUGAUUUGCCUACAAAUCCGAUCACACACCGCCUAUUGAUAUGUUUCCGCUUGUUCCUCAGGUGUUCCAGCAGCAGCCCCAAGAAAACCAACAAGUCUAUAAAAUCGAUCAGUGAAGUCGGUAAGUGAUUCAUCAUUCCGUUGGCGGAUAUUAUGAUACUCACGGCGAUACGCUCCUUUAUCCACCACAGUAAAGUACUUCUCAAAGAAAAGAUCACAAAAGCCAUUGCAAGUUAGAGUCUCUACAAACGCUGGACCUCCUCUUUCUCUUAAAACAGACUCCCACCAAACAUGCGCAUCUUCUUCCAACUUAUAAGCUGCUAAACUAGCCCUGUAUUGCUCGUCAACCCUAAGUACAGUGAAAAUCUUCUCAAUGUGAGAAAUCCAAUCUUUUGCCACUGCUGGUGUGGAAGCCUUAGUAAACGAUUUCGGUUUAUGUUUCACGAAAUGAGCUAGCCAAUCUUGUAUUCCCAUAUUAGCCUGAGUGUCACACCCCAACCGAUGGCGGAAACAUCGGAUGGUUGAGCCUGGAUCGGUUGCUGGUAUUGUUGGAUCUGACCCUGAUUUUG
rnacentral:lncRNA from 1 species